rnacentral:rRNA from 1 species
GGAUUAGAUACCCUGGUAGUCCACGCCGUAAACGAUGAGAACUAGAUGUCGGGAGGAUCUGCCUUUCGGUGUCGCAGCUAACGCGUUAAGUUCUCCGCCUGGGGAGUACGCCGGCAACGGUAAAACUCAAAGGAAUUGACGGGGACCCGCACAAGCGGUGGAGCAUGUGGUUUAAUUCGAUGCAACGCGAAGAACCUUACCUGCCCUUGACAUCCUCGGAACUUGUCAGAGAUGACUUGGUGCCUUCGGGAACCGGGUGACAGGUGCUGCAUGGCUGUCGUCAGCUCGUGCCG